UCGAUUGCCUAAAUAUGUAUUAUUACCAUCCUUUAAAUAAACUCGAAAUUUUUCCCAAAAGACCACCACGUUAUGUGUUGAAUAAUUCGUAGGCAUUGUAAACGAGUCUGCACUGAUUGUAGCUUUCACUAAAUGGACAACCUCCUUUCUUUAGGUUAUGGCUAGUCGAAUAGGAUGACCAGAGUGGGAUUGCGGAUUACGGCCCGCUUUUUUUUAUUGGGACUCCUUUAGGCUAGGAUAUACGGUUUUUACGCUGGUAAAUCCG